GGGAGCGGCAUUCCCUCCCCAACGAGGCCAUAUCCGGCGCAUGCGCCCAAACAUUCGCGCCGGUAUAGCUUGACCCGUCCGGUUGUCCCCCCGGGCGGGUC
rfam:Tardiphaga sp. Vaf07 contig_8, whole genome shotgun sequence.